ensembl:lncRNA
AGGCACCCUAAAAAAAUCCAUGUCUUUUGCAGCCAGUGGCCAUUGUGCCCUUGGCCCAGAGUGCUGCGUUGUGCCCUUCUCCCCGAGUGCUGCAUGCCCUGAAGCACCUCUCACUCACAUGGCUCUCCAUCACGUGAUCGGGUCUUUCUCACAGGCUACAAGUGAAGACAGACACAUCGGGGACGCAACUGCGUUGCGUCCUUAUCCAAUUCCGAGGGGAAGAGAAUGGGCAGAUGGAACAGACCCAGCUGCUGCCCAUGGAGGUCAAUCCAGCUAACACCACAAACAUCCAGAGGAAAACAGUCACUCAGGAGUUUGUGGAUGCAGCAAUGCUCCCCAUCCAACCUGAGAGCGCAUGAGAGGAUCUGC